AUUGAUAUGAUGCUUCCUGUAAGAAAAAACAUAAAAACAUGUCUCUCAUCAGAACAAAUAUCUUGGGACUCUGAAAUGUAUCUUUAUUAUUUUAUGUUAUGCAGUUCGAUGAUCGCUUGGAACCUCCAUACCAACUAUGAAGAGCUUUUGAUUCCCUCAGGAUAUUUGAGGUCAUCUCUAUUGUGGAUAACGAACUUGCUCCAGAUACAAGACCGGGAAAAAAAUAAUUUCCACUUCAGAUCACUUUAUAUUCAUAGCGAAACAAGCAAGAUAAAAAAAAAAAGAAGGACGUUUAAUUAAAGUUUGAAGUUCACUUUUAGGGAAUGUAAAAAGUUGGCCGAUGGAAGAAGAAGAAGAAGUCAAUGUGAUAAUACCUCAUUACCAUCACAUCACACUCUCAUGGCUCUAAAGUAUUGUAAUAAAAUUUACAUUGUUGGUUCUCCUAAUAGAGUCAUAACCUA